AUUGAACGCUGGCGGCAUGCCUUACACAUGCAAGUCGAACGGCAGCGGACCUUCGGGUGCCGGCGAGUGGCGAACGGGUGAGUAAUAUAUCGGAACGUACCUUUCAGUGGGGGAUAACGUAGCGAAAGUUACGCUAAUACCGCAUAUUCUGUGAGCAGGAAAGCAGGGGAUCGCAAGACCUUGCGCUGAUUGAGCGGCCGAUAUCAGAUUAGCUAGUUGGUGAGGUAAAGGCUCACCAAGGCGACGAUCUGUAGCGGGUCUGAGAGGAUGAUCCGCCACACUGGAACUGAGACACGGUCCAGACUCCUACGGGAGGCAGCAGUGGGGAAUUUUGGACAAUGGGCGCAAGCCUGAUCCAGCCAUGCCGCGUGAGUGAAGAAGGCCUCGGUUGUAAGACUCUUCGUCGGACGAAGUACGCACAGUUAAUACCUACGUAGUGGAGUGACGGUACCGGAA
rnacentral:rRNA from 1 species